UUUAGAGGGUGGUGAGUAUGCAUACCUCACAGGCGUGACACCUAUUACAAUGUGAAGUUCCCCGUUUCCGCCAGCCACCUACUCCUCCGGGCUGGGAGCUGGCCAUUCUCCGUACAGCCCAGAGUUGGCCAGUGUUUGUCCAAUUCCCUUGUGACAUGAAUUGGCCCACUGGCACUUUAUUUCAGUGAUAAUGUAUGCUGGUGUGGUAGCAGAACUUCACCUGCAAUAGAUCACGCCGACCUCUAAAUUUUCCUAAUGCAGUCCAGCGGUAUAUAUAGUCAACUGACCGGAUGUUGGCCUCACUCAUGGUGUUCACAUAUUUUUUGGAGGCAUUUCCAUGUGUGACACAAUCUCCCAGGGAAACCUGACCACCCCACGGUGGUUUGACAUUUCUAUUUGCUUUAGUUUUCGUGUGAGCGGCUGGAUUAGUUUAGUCUGAGGCUGCCCCUUGGAAUUGUGGGUAAUGCAUAUCUAAUCUUCUGUAUAUAUCUAUGGUCAGCUUGUCUGGUAGCAUCUCUGGCUGCUGUUGACCUUGUUUUUGGAGUAAGACACGGUGGAAGCUGAAUUAGUGAGGAUGACUCCUGCUCCUGUCAUCUCUAAGCUCCUCACACAUCUUUACCUGCACGUGAGGAAAAUCCCUCCUGUAGAAUGCAGUGAGGAUAAAGCGGUGUAUAGAGGAUGGAUGGAUGGAUUGAUGAUCAAUGUGAACGUUAUAAUUGAUGUGGUUCAUCAGGACCUCUGAGGAUGUCCUGUGGGUUGCAGAGCGGGUCCUACCUAGAUCAGGCUGAUCCUGGACCAUCUCAUAGAUGCUCAAUCAGACUGAGGGGUUGUGUGUCCUGCAGUGUUUCGGUGGUGAUGUUCAGAGGGAGAUGAUGCCACAUCUGGUCCAGCCGAUGGAAGGUCUUGAAGUUCUCUGUGGAUGGUCCUCUCACUGGAUUUAAGGUUCAGAUGCUCAGGAACAAACUGAGCCGAUUAUUAAAUGUUGCUACGAAGGUAUCGCUGUUUUUCUUUGUGAAUGCAAAGUGCUCCAACUGAAACUUGAAUUAGAACUUAGAAGUAAAUCCUUCCAUCCGAAAGGAUCUAGUUGCAUUAAUAACCUCAUAACGUUCUAAUUUUUAUUCCAGUCUUGGUUGGAAAUAGAAUCCCUGUAUUGAUUCAGGUAAAAACUGAACUUCACAGCAUGUUGGAGCAAAACAAGCAGAUGAAAAGUGUGAUGGUGUUGGAUUGUCAGACCGUAAUGUUGCAGCUCAAAGCAGCUUUUCUAUCUCACUUCAUUCUGACAUUCAGCUCUGAAUCAACAGCAGAUCCAGUUGAUGGUGAUCCAUGCUGUGGAAGUCUCACGUCUCCUCAUUUAAAUACACUGUUUAUUCACCAACACUUUAUUUAAUUAAAGUCCCAUUUAGUUUUUUUGAGGAAUGUGAUGUUUUAAUUUCUCUGUGAAUAACUGCAGUCUAAUGGAACAGCUGGAGUUGUAACAUCUGUCCUGAUACUGAUCAUGAAGUAUUGAUCAGAAUACUUGUGGUUAGCCGUCAUCCCCGAAGUUUUACAUAAAAACAAAUCUUUGCUUGUGUUGUGAACUUUGGUAAGAAGCAGAAACUUUAGUGUUGCCAAGGAUAUGAGUGUUAAAUUCUGUCCAUGUUUCCAUUUUGGAAUGCAGUCCAGCAGAUGAGUUUGUUUUUACUGACAGCUACCAUUCAGUCUGAGAUAUUAAGAAUAAAUAAAUGGGCAUGAUGUGGAAAUGAA